AGACUGCAGAGAGCUGUCUAGGAUUUGCAGCCCUGUACAGCCUGCAAAGGGAUUUCCAUUCACCUUUGGACUGAAAGUGAAGAUACUUUAUCUCAAAUAUGGGCAUCCUAUAGGUGUCUGGAGCCAUGGCUAUGCAAAUACUAAUGACCAAAGGUGAAAAAAAUAGUUAUCAUAUCUGAGAUAACACAGCAGCUAAAUAACUGUAAAAGAAGAAGAAAUAUAAAUUGAUGAGGGGAAAAUUAUGUGUCUUUGUAAACACUGGAGAACUGAAAUCUUGAUUACCAACUUCCAUUUCUUGUUCUGGACUCAAUGGAAAGAUUUUCUGAGAAACACCUCCCUUUUCUGAAGAAGACAGCUGCUGAACACCAUACCUCACCAUUUUUACUGGAACAACAAGACAUGCUUUCUUUGAUUUUUGCAAGUAUCAUAAAAUCACAUGUGACAACAGAGUCACAAAUUAAGGGAGUAAUUAGAAACUAAAUAUUAAAUAUGCACUAGCAGGUUUCCUCCUUUGAGAAAGUUUGAGCUGCUGAUAGAUCCUAGUAGUGGUGCUCUUUGUCACUGGUGCCAUUGUAAUGGGUAUGAUGUAGGAGGAAAAAUACAAUGGAAUGUGCAACUACCAUUUGGGCUAUAACUCUGAAAGACUAUAUACUAGCAUUAGCUGUAUAUGUCAGUGGUCUUGCUUUGAUUGCUUUGUGUCAUUGUCAUCCUAAAAUUACAUGAAAAAGAUUUUUGGAGUGAUUAGUGUUAAUGUAUUUUACAGUGUGAUUGAUUUAACAGAACAUACUGCAAUGCAAUCUGACUCAUAACAGCAGAAACAGAAACCAGAGAAGGGCUCUUCAUUUCCGGCAGACAAAAGCGGUGAUUGCCAAGACUUCCUGAGCUCCUACACCUUGAUUUUGUCACAUUUUGUUGAUUUGAUUGUGGGUUAUGAUUUGCAAUAGUAAAAUAGGUAAGUCUUGUAAUGGUAAAAUCAUUAAGGGAUAAUAAUGGUUCCCACUGAAGCCUUUGACAAAUGCCCUCUUGAUGCUAGUGGGAACAUUAGUGACGUGUAUACCUCUAAUUUGAAGUAUUUAAGUUACGAACAAAGACCCGUCUGAGUAUUAUUUAAAUUACAGAACUUUCAACAAUGAAUACUUAUUUCCAUUAUUUCCCCAACUGUCAUCAGCUCUGUUGGUCUCCAGUAACCAAAGCCAACCUCAAGCACCUUUCUUUUGGCCCUGCAGAGCACAGGCUUGCUGCAGUCAAGGCUGCUGGCUGGAGUCUGUGCUUUUUAGGUGCAGGCUCUGUGGUACCUCACUAUUUACAGCUGGAAGUUAGAAAUGUGGAGGAAAAGAGUUGUGGAUUUUUUUCUGAGAAAAGAACAGAGAGUUUUCAAAGAGAGGAGGCUUUCUCAAAUGCUGCCUGAUUGAGUUAGAAUUCUGGCUAGCUGCUCAGGCUUGCUGAUAUACCCAUUACUUGUUUUUAAUCCUAUA